UGGGGAAUAUUGCACAAUGGGCGCAAGCCUGAUGCAGCAACGCCGCGUGAACGAUGAAGGUCUUCGGAUCGUAAAGUUCUGUUUCAGGGGAAGAAAAUGACGGUACCCUGUGAGGAAGCCCCGGCUAACUACGUGCCAGCAGCCGCGGUAAUACGUAGGGGGCGAGCGUUGUCCGGAAUUAUUGGGCGUAAAGGGUACGUAGGCGGUCUAUUAAGUCAGGUGUGAAAGCGUGAGGCUUAACCUCAUUAAGCACUUGAAACUGAUAGACUUGAGUGAAGGAGAGGAAAGUGGAAUUCCUAGUGUAGCGGUGAAAUGCGUAGAUAUUAGGAGGAAUACCGGUGGCGAAGGCGACUUUCUGGACUUUUACUGACGCUCAGGUACGAAAGCGUGGGGAGCAAACAGG
rnacentral:rRNA from 1 species